GUGAGGAAUAUUGCGCAAUGGAGGCAACUCUGACGCAGCCAUGCCGCGUGCAGGAAGAAGGCGCUACGCGUUGUAAACUGCUUUUAACCGGGAAGAAACCCCAGGACGUGUCCUGGGUUGACGGUACCGGAGGAAUAAGCACCGGCUAACUUCGUGCCAGCAGCCACGGUAAUACGAAGGGUGCAAGCGUUAUCCGGAUUCAUUGGGUUUAAAGGGUGCGUAGGCGGAGCGUUAAGUCAGUGGUGAAAUCCUGCAGCUUAACUGUAGACUUGCCAUUGAUACUGGCGCUCUUGAGUGCGCUUGAAGUGGGCGGAAUGUGCCGUGUAGCGGUGAAAUGCUUAGAUAUGGCACAGAACACCAAUUGCGAAGGCAGCUCACUAAGGCGAUACUGACGCUGAGGCACGAAAGCGUGGGGAUCGAACAGGAUUAGAAACCCGAGUAGUCC
rnacentral:rRNA from 1 species